rnacentral:rRNA from 1 species
AUUGAACGCUGGCGGCAGGCCUAACACAUGCAAGUCGAGCGAGGGGCGGACGGGUGAGUAAUGUUUGGGAAACUGCCUGAUGGAGGGGGAUAACUACUGGAAACGGUAGCUAAUACCGCAUACCAUCCGGUUUGCCCAUUUGGGAUUAGCUAGUAGGGGGGGUAACGGCUCACCUAGGCGACGAUCCCUAGCUGGUCUGAGAGGAUGACCAGCCACACUGGAACUGAGACACGGUCCAGACUCCUACGGGAGGCAGCAGUGGGGAAUAUUGCACAAUGGGCGCAAGCCUGAUGCAGCCAUGCCGCGUGUGUGAAGAAGGCCUUCGGGUUGUAAAGCACUUUCAUCGGGGAGGCGUUACCUGAAGAAGAAGCACCGGCUAACUCCGUGCCAGCAGCCGCGGUAAUUC